rnacentral:tRNA from 1 species
GGCGGUGUAGCUCAGCUGGUUAGAGCAGUGGAAUCAUAAUCCACGUGUCCGCGGUUCGAAUCCGUGCACCGCUACCA